rnacentral:rRNA from 1 species
GACGAACGCUGGCGGCGUGCUUAACACAUGCAAGUCGACAUGCGUGGCGAACGGGUCAGUAAUACGUGGGUAACCUGCCCUCCUUUUUGGGAUAAGCCUUGGAAACGGGGUCUAAUACCGAAUAAAGGGGGAUGGGCUCGUGGCCUAUCAGCUUGUUGGUGGGGUGAUGGCCUACCAAGGCGGUGACGGGUAGCCGGCCUGAGAGGGGGACCGGGCACAUUGGGACUGAGAAACGGCCCAGAGUCCUACGGGGGGCAGCAGUGGGGGAUAUGGCACAAUGGGCGAAAGCGGGAUGCAGCGACGCCGCAUGGGGGAUGAAGGCUUUCGGGUUGUAAAACUCGUGCGCUAUCGCAGGGGUAGGUUGAGAAGAAGCGCCGGCUAACUACGUGCCAGCAGCCGCGGUAAUAC